rnacentral:rRNA from 1 species
UACGGAGGAUGCAAGCGUUAUCCGGAAUGAUUGGGCGUAAAGCGUCCGCAGGUGGCUAUGUAAGUCUGCUGUUAAAGAGUGAGGCUCAACCUCAUAAGAGCAGUGGAAACUACAUGGCUAGAGUGCGUUCGGGGCAGAGGGAAUUCCUGGUGUAGCGGUGAAAUGCGUAGAGAUCAGGAAGAACACCGGUGGCGAAAGCGCUCUGCUAGGCCGCAACUGACGCUGAGAAGCGAAAGCAUGGGGAGCGAACAGG